GCCCUUUUCCGGUUGAUCCUGCCGGAGGCCAUUGCUAUCGGAAUCCGAUUUAGCCAUGCUAGUCGCACGGGUUAGACCCGUGGCGGAAAGCUCAGUGACACGUGGCCAAACUACCCUGUGGACGGGGAUAAUCUCGGGAAACUGAGGCUAAUCCUCGAUAGGGCUUCCAUCCUGGAGUGGAGGAAGCUCGAAAGUUGCGCUGCGGCACCACAGGAUGUGGCUGCGGCCGAUUAGGUAGACGGUGGGGUAACGGCCCACCGUGCCAGUAAUCGGUACGGGUGAUGAGAGUCAGAGCCCGGAGACGGUAUCUGAGACAAGAUACCGGGCCCUACGGGGCGCAGCAGGCGCGAAACCUUUACACUGCACGACAGUGCGAUAGGGGGAUUCCGAGUGCGAGGGCAUACAGUCCUCGCUUUUCUAGACCGUAAGGAGGUCCAGGAACAAGGGCUGGGCAAGACCGGUGCCAGCCGCCGCGGUAAUACCGGCAGCCCAAGUGAUGGCCGAUAUUAUUGGGCCUAAAGCGUCCGUAGCCGGCCGGACAAGUCCGUUGGGAAAUCCACGCGCUUAACGCGUGGGCGUCCAGCGGAAACUGUCCGGCUUGGGGCCGGAGGACUCGAGGGGUACGUCCGGGGUAGGAGUGAAAUCCCGUAAUCCUGGACGGACCACCGGUGGCGAAAGCGCCUCGAGAGGACGGACCCGACGGUGAGGGACGUAAGCCAGGGUCUCGAACCGGAUUAGAUACCCGGGUAGUCCUGGCCGUAAACGAUGUCCGCUA
rnacentral:rRNA from 1 species